rnacentral:rRNA from 1 species
GUAGUCAUAUGCUUGUCUCAAAGAUUAAGCCAUGCAUGUCUAAGUAUAAGCAAUUAUACCGCGAAACUGCGAAUGGCUCAUUAAAUCAGUUAUCGUUUAUUUGAUAGUACCUUACUACUUGGAUAACCGUGGUAAUUCUAGAGCUAAUACAUGCUAAAAACCUCGACUUCGGAAGGGGUGUAUUUAUUAGAUAAAAAACCAAUGCCCUUCGGGGCUCCUUGGUGAAUCAUAAUAACUUAACGAAUCGCAUGGCCUUGCGCCGGCGAUGGUUCAUUCAAAUUUCUGCCCUAUCAACUUUCGAUGGUAGGAUAGUGGCCUACCAUGGUAUCAACGGGUAACGGGGAAU